UACGUAGGGGGCGAGCGUUGUCCGGAUUUAUUGGGCGUAAAGAGCUCGUAGGCGGUUCGAUAAGUCGGAUGUGAAAUCUCCACGCUCAACGUGGAGGGGCCAUUCGAUACUGUCGUGACUCGAGUCCGGAAGAGGUGAGUGGAAUUCCGAGUGUAGAGGUGAAAUUCGUAGAUAUUCGGAGGAACGCCAGUGGCGAAGGCGGCUCACUGGUCCGGUACUGACGCUGAGGUGCGAAAGCGUGGGGAGCAAACAGG
rnacentral:rRNA from 1 species